GAUGAACGCUGGUGGCGUGCCUAACACAUGCAAGUCGAGCGAUUUACUUCGGUAAAGAGCGGCGGACGGGUGAGUAACGCGUGGGUAACCUGCCCUGUACGCACGGAUAACAUACCGAAAGGUAUGCUAAUACGAGAUAACAUGCUUUUAUCGCAUGGUAGAAGUAUCAAAGCUCUGGCGGUACAGGAUGGACCCGCGUCUGAUUAGCUAGUUGGUAAGGUAAAGGCUUACCAAGGCGACGAUCAGUAGCCGACCUGAGAGGGUGAUCGGCCACAUUGGAACUGAGACACGGUCCAAACUCCUACGGGAGGCAGCAGUGGGGAAUAUUGCACAAUGGGCGAAAGCCUGAUGCAGCAACGCCGCGUGAGCGAUGAAGGCCUUCGGGUCGUAAAGCUCUGUCCUCAAGGAAGAUAAUGACGGUACUUGAGGAGGAAGCCCCGGCUAACUACGUGCCAGCCGCCGCGGUAACAC
rnacentral:rRNA from 1 species